rnacentral:rRNA from 1 species
GACAGAGGGUGCAAACGUUGUUCGGAGUUACUGGGCGAAAAGCGCGUGUAGGCUGCCCUGCAAGUCGGAUGUGAAAGCCCUGGGCUCAACCUAGGAAGUGCAUUCGAAACUGCAGGGCUGGAGUCCUGGAGAGGAAGGCGGAAUUCUCGGUGUAGAGGUGAAAUUCGUAGAUAUCGAGAGGAACACCGGUGGCGAAGGCGGCCUUCUGGAUAGUGACUGACGCUGAGACGCGAAAGCGUGGGGAGCAAACAGG